rnacentral:RNase_P_RNA from 1 species
AAAGUUUGACAGACAAUCGCUGGCAGCUUGGCUGCGAGAGGAAAGUCCGGGCUCCACAGGGCAGGAUGCUGGAUAACGUCCAGUCAGCGCGAGCUGAAGGAUAGUGCCACAGAAAUGGACCGCCGAUGGCUGCCGCAAGGCAUGCACAGGCAAGGAUGGAACCGUGGUGUAAGAGACCACGAGGAGUGCAGGUGACUGCAUUCCUGGUAAACCCCAUCUGGAGCAAGACCGAGAGGACGCGGCAGCUUUCGAGGCUGCAGCCUUAGCCCGAGGCGCGUCCGGGUUGGUUGCUGGAGCCAUGCAGCAAUGUAUGGCCUAGAUAGAUGAUUGUCGCUUCACAGUGGGAGGGUCGUUCCCGUUCUACCACCAGAAGUACAGAACCCGGCUUACGGCAAACUUUCCGC